rnacentral:lncRNA from 1 species
GAUUUGGAGCUUUCAAGAAAAAUGCAUUCGACAUUGGUGAAAACGUGUCACGAUGGCAAAAACGUGACACGAUUAUGGAAACCCUAAUUUUUGUGGUUUGUUACACAAGAAGAAACGUGUCACGAUUUACUUAAAUCGUGCCACGAUUUUAGGAGCAGUUGUUGCCUAUUUAAGCUGAAGACUAUUUUGAAAACAAGGGUUACGAAUUGGAGAGAGCAAAGUGCGAUUUUGAG